rnacentral:rRNA from 1 species
UUUAUGGAGAGUUUGAUCCUGGCUCAGGAUGAACGCUGGCGGCGUGCCUAAUACAUGCAAGUCGAGCGAACAGACGAGGAGCUUGCUCCUCUGACGUUAGCGGCGGACGGGUGAGUAACACGUGGAUAACCUACCUAUAAGACUGGGAUAACUUCGGGAAACCGGAGCUAAUACCGGAUAAUAUAUUGAACCGCAUGGUUCAAUAGUGAAAGACGGUUUUGCUGUCACUUAUAGAUGGAUCCGCGCCGCAUUAGCUAGUUGGUAAGGUAACGGCUUACCAAGGCAACGAUGCGUAGCCGACCUGAGAGGGUGAUCGGCCACACUGGAACUGAGACACGGUCCAGACUCCUACGGGAGGCAGCAGUAGGGAAUCUUCCGCAAUGGGCGAAAGCCUGACGGAGCAACGCCGCGUGAGUGAUGAAGGUCUUCGGAUCGUAAAACUCUGUUAUUAGGGAAGAACAAAUGUGUAAGUAACUAUGCACGUCUUGACGG